AUUUCAACAUUUAACGAUGUGUUUCAGUAUCAUAAAAGCAAUGCAGAUUCUUUCAGACUUGUCAUAUUUCUUUUCAGUUGAUGAGGGCGAGUGUAUUUUUUUUGCGGUUUCAUUUGUCGUGGUGUCAGGAGCCUUGCACACAGAUGGCAUUAGCCAGACCAACCUAAAAUAUACAGCUUUUUAAUGUAAUUUGAGGAGAGGACCUGUACUUCCAUGACUGAGCUGCAUAAGUGUUUUCCCAAAAUGGCCAGAGAGUGAACCGAUUCACCUUGAAAGAAGCUUUGAGCGUUGAGUGGAGGGAAUCCUGAUGUGGAACUGGAGCAGAGUGAUUCUAAAACAUUUUGAAAGGGGAGGGAAAAUAUACAACGUCCAGCAGGUAAAACAGCUGUGUUAUGUUCAUUACAGCAACAUAUCAAAUAAUGCCAGGCUUUAGAGCAUUCCAUUUAACUUCCUGUCAUCUUCUUGAGUGCCGCCCACUCUUCUCUGGAGCCACACGGAACACAUCUGAACAACACUGCAAGAAAAGAAGAGGAGUAGAGACAUUGCAACAAGUGUGAUGCGGUAACAUGCGGAAAGGAUGUAGUGGUACAGCAGUCUACAAGAAGACAUUAAGGGCAUGUCAAAUUAACUUUCAAAAGUUCAAGGACGUGAUAAUAAGUCCAGCAAACCUGUGAUGUGUGUGAGGAGAGCUAUGCCUAUAAAUACAAGAAUAAUGGCCGUGGUAUUCUUUCAUGACAAUAAAUUAAUGGAACCCAAGGGACUUUU